AUUGAACGCUGGCGGCAUGCUUUACACAUGCAAGUCGAACGGUAACAGGUUAAGCUGACGAGUGGCGAACGGGUGAGUAAUGCAUCGGAACGUGCCCGAUCGUGGGGGAUAACGCAGCGAAAGCUGCGCUAAUACCGCAUACGAUCUGAGGAUGAAAGCGGGGGACCGUAAGGCCUCGCGCGAUCGGAGCGGCCGAUGUCAGAUUAGGUAGUUGGUGGGGUAAAGGCUCACCAAGCCAACGACCUGUAGCUGGUCUGAGAGGACGACCAGCCACACUGGGGCGGAGACACGGCCCAGACUCCUACGGGAGGCAGCAGUGGGGAAUUUUGGACAAUGGGCGAAAGCCUGAUCCAGCAAUGCCGCGUGCAGGAAGAAGGCCUUCGGGUUGUAAACUGCUUUUGUACGGAGCGAAAAGGUUCUCUCUAAUACAGAGGGCUCAUGACGGUACCGUAAGAAUAAGCACCGGCUAACUACGUGCCAGCCGCCGCCGUAA
rnacentral:rRNA from 1 species